CCAAAUUCAUCUUCUGAAUUCAUAAUUUUUUCUUUCUUUCUAUGUUUUGCGAAUUCGAUUUUCAAUUAAGAAAGUUCCGAUGAGGAAGAAAUCCCCUUAAAGAUAGGAAGUGCCGUAUGACACUUUAAACAGCAGCGGAUCACGGCGGCGCGUCAUCCCAUCCACCAAUUCGCCGGCCUCCGAUCAUUAACACGAUCUUAGAGCUCAGUUCGUUGGUCGGGAUUCGCGUUUUAGCCUCUUCCACUGUGUGUGUGAUUUUGAACGGGUCUCUGAGGUUUUUUUCAUCUACUUUUCUAUCAAAUCAUUUGAUUUUUUCUUCAUAUCUUCUGGUUCGAUGCCACGUCGACGGUAGCCAAAAGUGCAGUGACCGACGAUGCUAUGAUUGAACCUAUAACAGACUUUGUGUCUUUCGCAAUUUUAUAGGAACCUGUGAACUGAUUGUUAUCCGUUCAUUCACAGAGCCGGUUUUUGCGAUUACAUUUUUUUUAAUAAAAAAAAUAUUUUUAAUUGAUUGAUUUUUGAUGAAAUUUGUGUGUUGCCAAUGAGGUAUUAAAUCGUUAUAAGUUGGAAUUACCGACUGAUUUUACAUUGAUGAUACAUCGACUAUCUGAGGCAUUUCAAAUUGUUUUGAAUUUUUUGGAUCUUAAUAUUCAUAUAAAAAAGAUAAAUUGAUCGAUAGUUUGUUUUUUUGGCAUUAAUAUUAUAUGAAUAUUCACAGCAGAUCAUGUUGUAAUUCAUAAGAACAAGGAAUUGCUUUUUAACUAAAAUGUCCGAAUUAGGGUGUAACGUUUUUAAUUAGUUCCACACUAUUAAAAUUUUUUUGGAUGAAAAUAAUUUAUUCAGGUGAUAACUUAUUUUUAUUUUAGAUUUGCUAUGUGGUAGUUGUUUGUGGUUUGUAGAUAGUGAUUUUGAAUUGUUUUGUGUCGAGGCUUGAACAAUGUUGCUUGAUGAUUCUUGAAAGUGCCGAAGUGUAGCUCAAGAGCACGUGUGAAUUUGUAAUUUGUCUUACAGAAGAUUGUUGUUGGCUUAUUCUCCUUGAAAGGAAAAAGAUGAUUCAUUUCGGAAUGUUGAUAUAUGACAUUUUCUGGAAAGUUGAUAGCUGACGUUUGCUUGAGACUUGAGAGGAUUAUGUGUGGUUAAGAAAACUUAGGUGUGAUUUGUGAGGGAUUAAGAAUUAUAAAUCUAUUUGUGAUCCAAAAGAAAAAAAUGACUAAUGGGAUGGGGAUUGCAUCAUCUGUUCCCGAUUAAUUUUAGGUUUAAAGAAAUUAAUUUUUUAGGUUAAAAGAAGUCUAUAAUAUAAUUUUAUAAUUUUUUUUGACAUCCCUAAUUAGUGCAAUGAGAGUAAGAUCCCUGACAACAAAUAGGAAAUAGUAAGGAAAGAUGAUAUUAGAUAUAGCACGGAAAAGGAGAAGAGACUACUUGAGUAGGUAAUGAGAGAAAUUAGAGAGGAUAAAGCGUAGUAUGUAAGAAAAAGAAAGAGAAAGUUUGGAAGAGAAAAGAGCACAAUAUGUAUUGAUGCAUACAAGUAAUUUUGUUGGAAUGUUGACUAAUGGAAUCUUUAACGUAUCCUGGUUACCUGAUAAAAUAAAGUAUGUUGGAAUGUUGACUAAUGGAAUCUUUAAAGUAUCCCGGUUACCUGAUAAUCUCUCGUAUUCGGCUAUAGCAAGAGCCCUAAAUCUAGAGCCGCUUGACAUUCCAAUCUAGUUUCAACAAUGCACUUUUCGGACUGAGAAAGAGGGUUUGCUUGGCGUAAUGAUUCAAAUUUGGAAAUAAAUAACAAAAAAUAUUUUACAAGGAUUCUGUACAUAUAAAAAACGUAGAAAUCUGAUUUAUGAUGAAGAAAGUUAUGACCCGUCGAAAUUUUACGAUCAAACAGACAUGAGUCGAUAAUCGUAAAAAGUGAAUUUUUGAAAACUAUUUUUUAGCCUUUAAACGAAAGCGUACAAUUUUAAUUUUUCUAAGAUUCAUAGCAGUAUACAACUUGGAAAUUGAAUUUCAGAUUGAUCGAUUAUUGACACAAUCUAAACGACAAUUGAAGAUCUUGUUAAUAGAAGCUCAACGAUAUAAAUACAGUCGAAAACGGACGUCAGAUGAUAAAGUUAUGAAUUUUUAACAGAUUUUUAACUGUCUAAGCAUGUUAAAAUAUACCUUUAUAGAUAACGUCAAAACUAGCCGACAGAGUUUAUGUAACAUCCUGAAUUUUAGAAGUAUGAUUUAAAGGUUUAUAGUGUAUAUUCGAAGAAGGAACUCGAUGAGUAGGUACGCUUACUCGUCGAGUCGGAGCGAGUUUGGGUCGCGAAUUAAGUGACCAACUUGCCGAGUCGAAAGCUGGACUCGACGAGUUUGUGCUGGAAUGAGAAAACCCUAAUCUUUGGGUUUGCAUCCUAUUUAAAGGACUUUAUGUCCUUCUCCCAGCCUCCUAAUCCCCCAGAGAGUUCUAGAAAACCCUAAUUUCGUGUGAGACUUCAUUAUUGAGGAGAUUGGAGCUUGGAAGAGGAAUUUGGUGGAAGGAGCUUGAGAAAUUAGGGGCUAGUAUCAAGGGGCUUGUAUGGAUCUGGGAUCUACAUAUGUUUGGACAUAUUUCAGAGGUAAGAAGCCAUAAUCUUAUGCUAAUUUCCAUUUUGGUUCAUCCUUGGUGGUUGAUGUGGAGUUCCUUGGCUUGUUUGAGAUCUAUCUCGAGUUGGAGUUUAGAUCUGAGGUUCCUACUCCAGAUCUAGACUUAUGAUGGCCUAGAAUGUCAUAAAGUUUCAGUCAUUGAGUUGUUGGUGAAGCCCCUUUGUCUAAAACCCAAGCCAUAGUGUGUUUUGGGCCUUUAUCUCCUUGGUUUCACGUAAAGUUUGCAACUUUAUGUGAGGGUUAGAUUGUAGAAUGGUGGAUCUAUGGUUUAGAGCCCCUGCAUGGCUCGAAAAGCCUCUAUAUGGAAUAAGAAAUGGAGAAACUCAGGGAGUCACAUGGGUGUACUCGACGAGUUGUAUGAACAUGUGCAGGGACUCGGCGAGUUGGAAGAACAACUCGGCGAGUCUAUUGAAGAUUGUCUUGGACUCGGCGAGUCUGUUCUUGGACUCGGUGAGUCAGGUCGCAGAACCCCAACCUCUUUUGGUUAAAUCCUUGGAUUAAGUGAGUCGGUCGGCGACUCAUUGAGUUAGACAGGAUGCGACUCAGAGAUUGUUGGACUCGGCGAGUCUUGGGGUGACUCGGCGAGUUAAGUUGUCUUAUGAGAGUUUUUUGGGAAUGGGAACUCGGCGAGUCGACAGGUUGACUCGACGAGUAGAAUCAACCGGGAAGGUUGACUUUGACUGAGGACUUUGACUUUGACCAAUAGUUGACCAGUUUGACUUCAAGGGUAUUUUGGUAAUUCUGGUAUUUAUGGCAUUGGUUCUUUGAUAGUGUUCUGUGGUGAAGUUUGUGUCGGUGGUCGAAGCAGCUUGGUCUUAUCUCUCCAGUCGGCAAUUGCAGGUGAGUUAUCCUCACUAUACCGACAUGGUCUACGACACCAAGGCCGACCCUUUAUCGGAUGGAAAUCCGGGUAUUGUUUGUUAUGUUAUUGCUUUGCUAGAUUUGCAUCCUAGUAUUUAGGAUGGUGUUAUGUUAGUGACCUCGUUAAGGUCGGUACCCGAUAUUUAGGGUAGUGUUAUGUUAUUGACCUGGUUAAGGUCGGUACCCGGUAUAUAGGGUGAUGUUAUGCUAGUAACCGGUUAGGUCGGAAUCCUGGUUAGGAUGUUGAUAUGCUAUGUGAUUUGUUAGACUGUUUGUCUGGUUAAUGAUUUGUUAUGUGAUUAAUUGCUUUAUGUGCACAUGAUUGUUUGACGGGGGUUGGAUUGAGGCGGGUCCUGCUUUGUGUUGUAGGCCAACAUAGCCACGCCGGACCGGAUAUUCCGAAGGCCGAGCGAGCGGUUCGGAUAGGCUGAAGGCCCCAAGAGGGCGGACCAGACGUGCCGAGGCUCGGGGGGUGGGACANUCCAUCUUGUGUGAUGAUUGGACCCAUAGUAGUUAUUGUUGUAUGUAUAGGAUUUGGGCAUUCCAACCCGAUGGUUGUGGACCGAGAGUAUUCCAUCCCGGUAGGAUGAUUGGGCUCGUGUUAUGUAGGCAUACCAACCCGAUGGUUGAGGGCCAGGGGUAUUCCAAUUGGAAGGUUGAUUGGUCCCGUAAUAUGUUGUUCUUUGCUGUAUGCGUAUGUUUAUGUGUGUAUGGGUACUUUGGGGGAACUCACUAAGCUUUCGGGCUUACAGUUGUGGUUUAUUGUUUCAGGUGCUUCAGGAGAUCGUGACAAGGCGAAGGCGUGAUCGUACCGCUCUUCAUGUUUUAUGAUUUAUGUGAUAUGGUUCUGGGGAAUACUCUGGUGUUUAAACUAUUUUGAAAACAAGUGUAUGAACUUAAUGGUUUUUAAAUGAAUUAAAAUGUUUUAAUUUGGCUCGAAUUUUAUGGUCGCUACAGUUUAAACGAAAGUUGUCGAUCACAUCGUUACGUACAUAUGGAUAUAAAGAAUGUAAAAAAACGUAGCUCGUAUGUGAAAGUUACGAAAUUUAGAAGAUAUUUUGUUUUUGGGUUAAGUUCUGGAGGUGACACGUGGCAUAAACUCAGCCCCACCUUCCUCCCCAUGACUUUGCAUAUGAUCUCGACACGUGGCAUGCGUACGCCCAACGUAGCAUGCGUACGCCCAACAUAUAGCAGUACACCCAACGUACAUCAAAAUUACUCCCUGUGUACUCACAAGUUUCAGCCUAUAAAUAGAGGCGCAAAUAAUCUCAUUUCUUUACACCUUUCUAACUUUUUCUUUCCCAAACACCCCAAAACCCUCAAGGUUUUUCCCUAGCACCUCCUAGGUGUUAGUAGCGAGUCCCAGAGCGCCAGACGGUCCCGAGAAGAAGAGCUGGCUCAGAAGUUCUGGUCGCACAGAGUCCGGUUCCUCGCUAAACUCUCUUGUAAGUGAGUUAUGCUUACCCUACUUUCAGUAUAACUUAUUUUUAAGCUCAUUAUCGUUAUUUGAACAUAUAAACAAGAUUUAUCAGUGAUUCUAAAUUGUUAUACUGAUUGAUCUACUUACGGGGAUGAUGUCUAGGUUGUGAUUUAAUGAGGUGUUUAAAGUGAGAUUUCCAAACAGUAUACUUCGUAUACCAAACGGACCAUACCUCCGAUAUGAUCCUACCUGGUUGUUCCUUACUUGAUAGAUCAUGAAAGUAGACUUUGAGUUAAUGAUGAAUCUAGACUAAUAAUUAGUCGCAAUAAAUAUUAGACUAAAAACUUAUUGAUUAGGUUUCGUCGAAGAAAAAAACGAUUGUUAGAAGCGAAGCACUGUCCGAAUUUCGAGUCAUCACUUUAACAAGUGAGUACAUAGUCCCUUUCAUGAACAUCAUUUUAAUACAAGUAUUAAUUAAAGUAUUAAAUAUAUGUUUAUGUGUGAAAUAUUGGAUAUUGCCUGAAAUACGUGUUAAGAACAUAUCUGAUAAUAUAUGAUGAUUUAUGAUACAGAAUAAACCUAAAUUAAUUAAAAAGAAUACCGAGUGGUAUAUUCUUAUGAGUACGGGUGAGAUAUACACGGAGGGUAGAACUUUAAAAAGUGUCAUUAAUCCGAGAGCAUGGAUUAGACAUAUUCAUUCGUCCCUAGUUCGAGAGUAUGAAGUUGGCAUAAUCACGUGUCAUUGAUCUGAGAGCAUGAAUUUGACAUACUUGAUCCGAGAGUAUGAAUUAGGUAAAGCUGUUAAUUUUAUAUUCGAGAGCAUGGAUCGUAUCGUUAUGAGGAUCGACGGGGUAGGGUAAAAAUUGCUUAUAUGAGGUGAAAUUGUAUAUAUUGUGAGUUCUAAAAUAUAUAUGAUAUAAGAUUAUGAGAUUGAAAUCCCUAUGUACUCACCAGGUUUCCCAACCUGACCCACUCAGUUUAUUUCAAUCACAUGUAUCGAUGCGAAAAUACACUACACUAAAAGAUUAAAGGAGAUGUAAAUCAUUAGUGUAAAUGAAUGUAAGGUAUGCUUAUGCUUAUGUUUCUGUAUUGACGAUAACAUCCCAAUGUUUUAAAUAAAAAGACAUUUCUUCGAAAAUGCUUUGAUAACAUCGUUAUCAUGUUUUCUGGAAAUAAAUUCCGCAAUACUACUUUUCAAAAAUGAUACUCUGAUUUUUAAUUAAGCAUAAAUAAAAAUUUUAAAAUGACCGUGAAUGUGGGGAUGUCACAAUCGAGAAGGAUAAAGAGGAGGAGAUUAGAUUAUGAAAAGGAGAAUAGAAAAAUGUAAUAUGGAAAGAUAAAAGAGAAAGAAGAAGAAUACAUAGACAUGAAAAUAGAAAAAAAUAACUUACCAACCAUUAUUGUCUGUGACAUUGUUGUCUACAAUGUCUGAUGUUGUAGAGAUGUUUCAUGUUUUAUAGGUUCAUCUAACAGUCAUGGUACGUGAAAAGAUAGGAGCACAUUGAGUUCGACUAUAUUGCUAAUUUAGUUGUAUUUUACCUUGUUGAUUAUUAAAAUUAUAUGUAUGAUUUUAUUGUAAACUCGAAUGUAACCUGCGAUGUAAAUUGUUUUGAGUUAAUAGAAUUUCGUCUUUUAGUAGAUAAGUUCAUAAGUAUGACAAUUCCUAGUUAAUUAGAUGUAGAAAGUCCAGAUCGUUACAAUUUUACCUUAUUAUCCUUUUGGGGAUGGUCAUGGUUGUUUUAGGUUGCAUUGACUUAUGAUUAUCUCCUUGUUUGCAUCCAUGACCUUGAUUUUGUCUUUGGACUCAACGUAGACCUUAACUUUCACUUAAGGUAUUUGUAAAAUAGGUUUAAAAUGUUUUUUUUAAGUUAAAAAUAUUUAAACCAAAUGAAAACAACAAACCAUUUUUUAAAAUGUAAAUCUUAUAUUUUUCCUAUGGAGAAAAUGUAAUAUCUUGUUUUCAUGUAUUCCAUUUUGACCCUUAGUUUGAGUAUUGUUUGCAAAAUUAGUCCCGAGUGGCAUUUUUGUAGUUUUAUGAGGCUACAUGUGUACGAUGGGCGUACGUGGCCAGGGUACAAACCCUUUUUUUUAGGGUUUGGACCCUAUUUAAACAUCAUUAUAGCCUGAUACUCUUUCUUAACUCCAACCUCCAUCUCCCAUAGCCUCCAUCUCGAAAGCCUAAGUGUGUGAGUGUGUUUUGGAGCUUUGGAGUGUCAUUUUGGUUCUCUUGGUGGUGAAGGAAGACUCUUGGAGUUGUGGUGUUUCACUGAAGUCUUUGGAUCCAACAACUACUCUCCUUUGUGCGUCUUCUGAGGUAUAAAGCUCCAUCCUUGAUGAAUAUUCCUUCAGAUCUUGUUCAGUCUUAGAAGGUUACACCUUUUUGUACCAAAUCUUGAUUCUUGUGAGUAUGGAAUACUACAGGACCUUUAAGUUGUCCUUUAAGAUGUUUUAGGGCAUGAUAAGUCAUUAAAAUGUAAUCUUUAUCCUUAGUUUUCCACCAUGCAUGGUCUAGGUUGUCUUAAUGAGUUAAUAAGUUAGGGUUUUUAGUAUUCAACACUUAAUAGCCAUGCAAGAUCAUAAAGUUGGAAACUUUAUGAUUAAGGACAUCAUUUGAGGAGUACAUUUGGACUUUGGACGAAAAGGAUUAAAUGAUUAAGCUCUUAAUAGAAAGGAAUGAUGGCAGACGCGUAUGUUGUGCGUACGUGGUCAACUCGACGAUUCUAGUCAAUACGUAGUACGCCCCGCGUACGGGUUGAGUACGCCCAACGUACUCAUUGAGUUGACCCGGUUGACUUUUGACUUUGACCUAGGGGUAUUUUGGGUAUUUUGAGCUAUAGUCUGAGUUUUGGUCACUGUUAUUUGUAAAGGUGAUCGGUAGAGUUGGUUUUCAGAGCAACGUGUUGUUUCAUCUUUUGUCCGACUGUGAGGUGAGUUUUUCAUGGUAUCCAUGGGUCGAAGGCACCAAUGCCGACCUAUUAUUGUGUUAUGUAGGAUGAUAGUCGUUGUGUGGCUUCUAUGUGGUUGCAUGUUCGGGUUGAAAUAAACCCCAGGGUGGGACCCACUAUUGUAUGAUUAGGUUGGAAUAUACCCUAAGGCCGGGCCCUAGGGCUAGGCCCAUAUGUGUUGAUCAGUUUGAAAUACACCCCAGGGCCCAUAUAUGUAUAUCGGGUUGGAACACACCCCAUGGUUAAGCCUAGUUGUAUGAUUGGUAUGUGGUACUUUGGGGAACUCACUAAGCUUUGUGCUUACAAUUUAUGUUUAUGGUUUCAGGUACUUCCGGUUCAAAAGGGAAGGACCCGACAUGAUGGCACAACAUCCUCCCCUCGUGAUUUCCACAUUUUGAAUAAUUGAACUAUGCUAUUUUGAUAUUAUAUAUGGUGAUGGUUUUUGAAACAAUUAUUGAAUGAAAUUGUUGGUCUUUCAAAUGAAAAAAAUUAUCACUGUUUUUGAGCUGUUACAAAAAAACUAUAUAUAAAUAAUGUUUUCAAUUGUUGGCUAGUUUAUAUGACUAUUUCAUCUUGAGUAAUAUGAACAAUUUGAAUAAGACUAUCAUGUAGUUGAGACACCUAACACCACCCUUAACGCUAAGGCAAAAGAAUGGCUCAAUCUCAAAUAUUUCUUUCCAACAAUGUUGACGAGACAAUUUAAUUCUGCUGCGGAGAAAAUGUGUUGGGGAAAUUCGAAUUAGGUAUUGAGAAAUCUAGAUAACAAACAGGAAUCGUGUAAAACACUUUCAUUGUUUGAUACUUUGAUCCUAUAUGCAUUGGAUAUCACGAAAUCCAAACUGGGAUAAUUCCUGAUGUAGCAAUUCUAAUUUUAGGCACAAGAUCAGAAUCAAUUUUUUAGAAGAUGAAGAGAGAGUGUUUUUAGUUUCCUAUGGGACCCCUGACCUGACACAGUAGAUUAGGGUUCAAUACUAACAAUGUUUAGUAAAUACAAGUAUGCACUCCCGCACCUCCUAACUUGUAUUAUAACUAAAACAUCAUUCUUGAAACACUUGUUAAGUCCAUUACACUAAAAUACAUUUGGUGAUAAAAUCACCAUCAAAAUGGACAUUAGAAGUAUAAUUGUUUCUAACUUUUGGGUCUUAGAUAUGUAUAUUGAACAAGUCAAGAGGUGUGUCAUUUCAAAUAUGUAUAUUGAACUCCAUAUUACUUCUGUUUCUAACUUUUGGGUCUUAGAUAUAGUAUGUGGUAUUCUAAUUUACCCUAUUUUAUAGGGGAUUAAGAAGAACUAGGAAGUUGAAGCGUGUAGAGUUGAUUUGAUGUCAAUUUGCCUUUGAUUAGUUGAACCUCUCUAUACCUAAGCUUUUUAUUUUCCAUUAGUGUAUAUAUAUAUAUAUAUAUCAAUGCAAAUGUAAGUAAGAAGUUGAAGCAUGUAUAUUCGAUUUGAUGUUAGUUUGUCUUUGAUUAGGGGAACCUCUCCAUUCCUAAGCUUUUAUUUUCCGUUAGUCUCUAUAUAUCAAUCCAAAUGUGAGUAUCACACACGUUGUUUAAUGAGUCUUAAGAGUUUAUAGUAGAAGCAUUAUGAAGUUUAAACAUAUAUCUAUUUGAAAUUCUACACUCCUUGGCUUUAGUUCAUUUUUUCCAGGUAUUUAGAACAACUACGUUUUCAGUAUCAUUUUUCUACGUUGUAAAAACAUAUUGCCUCAUUAGAAUUGUUUUAAGGAAGUAUCAUAGAGUCAUUUUUUCUAUUUCCUUUGGGAUUUGGGUGAAGUUUACUCUUCUCCUUACAUUUAAGAUGGUUAACAUAGUUUUUUCAAAUUGUUUAUAUUAUAAUUUUGGAUGAUCUAGUUAUAUAAACUGGUCAAUGAGUUGAGGAUAUUAGUUACAUAAAUGGUUUUUCAUGGGUGUUACUAAAUUAUAUUUUUUUCCCUUUAAUUAAAAUAUUUUUAACCUUUUCGGAUCAUUUGUUAACUCUUAACAAUUAUUGUUUGUGUUUCAAUAUUUAUUUUUAAGCAAUCAUGUAACAAUUUAAGAUAAACACAACACACAUGUAAACAACAAGAGUAAUUGGUGGUUGUCGAGGCCAACAAAAAUAAAUACCCUAAAUAUUACAAACUAAAAUAGUAUAUAGUGGUAAGGAGAUCGUAUCCAUGGAGAUUAGUUCAAUUAAUAACUCUAUGAAAAUCUUUUUAUAUAAAUACUUGUGAUUUUUUUUUUUUUUUUUGUCUUUUGAGAUAUUUAAAAGAAAACUAGAGACUAGAGUUACACUGAGAUUUAAAAACACAAUUCAACAAAAAGCAAGGUUUAAUAUAAAAUUAAUUAGAGAAAGAUGGUUGACUUAAGGUUUCAUCACUUGAAUAGUUGGUAAAUAUAUCAUUAGAAUUCGAAGUCUAAUACUUGUCUUAAAUCUCCAAUUUGGUUAUAAUAAUCAAAGAAGCUUGAUAUUACCUAGAUUUUUCUUAGUUAUUAAAGUAGCUAAAGAAGCUCAUAACAUAUUUCUUUAGUUAAAGUCAUAAUUUUCAUUAAGCAUGUAAUUAGUGAAAAUUAACUAGCAUUAAGGACCAAAAAGUAACCAAAUCCAAGAGGAAUCAUAAGCUUCCACUACCAUGUUGGAGAAAAUAUUUUUGUGAUUGUGUGAAGUGAUCCAUUACUUAAUCAAGAAAUUAGCCAAUUAAUCACUACAAAUACAUUUAAAUUCAUGAAUAAAAACAUACAAGUAGCAAGAAGAUGUUAAAAUAUAAAACAUUUUCAUAAAGACUCAAGAAGAAGUUCUUGGAGUUCAUUAAAAUUCAACCAAACAUUCAAUCAAAUUCACCAAAGUCAACCAACAUUUGUUUUGCAUAACAUGGCUAAACUCAAGAAACUAAAAUAAAUGUUAGGGGUACCAAGCAUUUAGCAAGAUUCAAGAGUAAAAAUGAAGAUGUUCUUCAAGUCCUUCAAGUUUUUCAAGGCCUUUAAAGUACAGAGAAAAUGCUCCUAAACUCAGAUCCAAAAGUUGUCCCAAAAGCAUCCCACAAACCAUCCCAAAAUAGCAGUAAAAAAUAAAAUCUCGAAAAUGCCCCUGCAGGUCACACAAGCUACGUGAAUUUUAGCCUAUUUAUUGCACGGGACAUGUAAGCUGGUUAGAAAUGGGACUUUUUUAUUUCUUGGAUUUGAAUUGCAUUAGUCCACCAACCCAAGUUUCUCCAAUAGAUGAUAGGUCCAAGAGUCUUCAAAUCUUCAUAAUUUAACAAGUCCAAACAUUCUCUUUUUUUCUUCCAAUCUUCAUUUGAGACCGAACCCAAUUGGUUGUCAACAAAACACUUUCGAAGUAGCCCACAUCCACAUCUCUCCUUAAAUCAAUAGUCCAAUUGUGUCCAUCAAGUGAUCCGGAAAUGCACUACAAGCUUCAUGUUUUAAGAUCCCAUACUCCCAAAACUACUCCACUUUGAAUAGUCUUUAAUAAAUCUCAAAUAAGUUGAAAAGACUAAAAAGUACCCAAUAAAGAUAUAAAAUAACAAAAAUAGAAAAAAUGCAUGAAGAUUAACUAAAAUGAGAUGAAAUGUGCUAAAAUAAACUAUAAAAAAAAAGUAAACAAAAUGAAACUAUUAGUAGCAUUUUCUUUAACCCUAUGCGUUUUUCAUGUUAGUUUAUUAUUGUGUUCUCCUUUUUCAUAUUUGGAACUCACUUCCCGAGUAUUAAUUUGCUCAAACCUCUACAUUCGGUCAUACUCUUGGAAGUAAGUGGUGAUUUAAGACUGUCAUUGAGUAUUAGUAGAUUGUUCAUGCUGAUUGGACAUAACAUAGAGACUACAACUAACACUCCUGAGUACUUAAUGGAUAUUUAAGUAUAGAACAAACCACACUUAGAUAUUACUUCAUGGAUAAAGUCAUAAGUGAUUCUAAGAUGAUAAUGUCUCUUAUUCUUCAAACAGAGAUACAUGAGAUUUUUACUUUCCAACACUAUCCGUAACUUGUAGUAAUAAAGGUAUGUCGAUGUAUGGCAUGAUGAGUAGACGAAAGUUAUGUAUGGUCCCCUCGAUGAUUUGUUGCUGACAUCUAAAGUGUGACGAGCCUUGACUGAAAUUGUUGUGUUCAAUUUAGUAGUAUAAGGUGGUCGUUACAAAUCUUUAUUGGGAAACAUAAUCAUGAACAUUCGGAUUGACCCUUAUCCAUGUUUAAGGUUUAGACAAUAUCUUGUGAACAAAUGAAUAUAUGAUCACUUAUUUAAGGGCUGAAUCUUAGUUUGAUCAAAGUUUUAUAGUUUCAUUGGAUGGCAUAGUCUAUGUUGAUUAUUUGAGAAGUAUUAGACCUCAUAUAGUUGAUGACUUGUCUAAGUGGGAGACUGUUGGAAAUAGUGUCAAAUAUGAUAACUAUUAAUGAUAUUUCUAAUAAUAACAAAGUCCUUUUGGGUUGCUCUUAAGACCCAUUUAAGUAAUUAAAAGACAAAGUUUUGGGAGAAAUUAGUUUAUUAAUUUGUUAUGUUAUGAUAAAUUAACUAGAAACUAUUUUGGAACAUUCUAGAAAGAUAGGGAUAAGGGACAAAAUUUGAUAAGCCCUAUCAAGGUUUUGGAGUUGCUUUGGCAGUAAGCAAAUGAGAGCCUAUAAAUAAGGAGCUAGAGAUCAAACCCUAGUUACCCAUUCUUACUCCUAGAUUUCGUCCUCCUUUUCCUCCCUCCCAGGUAACGCAAAAUAACCCUUCUAAGGUUUUGUUUUGGCGAUUUUACCUCCCAUCUCCUAGGAUUUGUUGUUUUGCUCUCAUAGUGUUCUUGGGUGUGAUGUCGUUAGAAUGAUUCUAUUAUGGGCCCUCUCAUCCAAGAAAAUGUGGUAAGAACUCGAUCUCAAGCAAGGAGAUCUCUAGCUUCAAAAGAGGUAUGUAAUUUUUAUUACUUUAGUAGUUGCACUAAUAGAAUGAACUUAGAUCCUUAUAUAUUGCAUGAAAACAUAAAAAUUGUUAUAAUAUUCUCAUGCUUAUAAACUUGUGUUAGUAUGCCUAAACUUAUCACAAUUUCAGAAUGGGCCAUCCAAACCAAAUAAAAACAAUUUUUUCUGACAAAAAAAUAAACUUCAAACACAUUCAGGUUUCAAAUUAAAAUUCCGAAGUUCAGAAAAAAUAAAAAAAAAAACUUCAGAAUUUCGAAAACAAGUCUGAAAUCUGAUGAAUAAUUCCGGAAUGAUAAGAAAAAAAUUCCGUUUUUUAUUAAAUCUAAUAAAAAAUUAAACAAACACAAUAAAUGAGAACCAUAUACAAUAUUAUGAAUCAAACAUUGAUUGAAAAAAAAUACUAAUAUUAUUUUCGAAAUGAAUAUUUUGGACAUAAGUAGAUAGAUUUCUUUGAUUUUUUUUCUUAAGACAAAAAGAAUUUCAGAAUUUGAAAAACAGUCCAAAUGAGAUAUUAAAAAAAAAAAAAAAAAAAUUAUUUUAUUUAAAUAUGGCUAUUUAAAAUGGUUAAUGUAAUGAAUUUGCUAUUAUUAAGGAAAAAAAAAACGCUGCUAGAUACAGUCCCAACGUUGACACAGGCUCACUUUAAACACUACAAUUUCUCGGGUUAUAUUUACUUGUCCGAGGUUCUUGAUUUUUCCAUCAAGGACCAUUUUAGAAACGCAAUUUCAGAAAGGAAAAAAGAUCAAAAAACUAAACGCAACCCGUUUUCUGGAAUCAAACGCCAUCACCUAAAAUCUCACACUUUCAUCUUGAAACCCACUAAUAAGCUUCGAUUCUUUGCAGAGGGUAACGUAAAUCACUAUGCAGGGUUUAAAGAAGGGUUCCUCUCUUACAAGGCCUUUCUCAAUUCAUCAUAUCAAACGAAUGUUUUCGAAUUCAUUGUCCGCUCUUGAAGAUACUUUCUUAUCAACCAAGGUAUUUUAAAUGAUUCUGGUUUUCAUCCAAUUUCGUCGUUUGUGAUUACGCAGCAAUUAGGGCUUCUUACCUAUAUCUCCCCUCUUUUUUCCCCUUUCAUUGAUGAUCUUCAUUUUGAUAGGAUACAUAUGAGAGGCAUAAAGUUGUGUUUACAUUACUAACUUCCAUAGCAUCUAUUGGCACUGCUUGGACUGGUAUGUUUAGCUUACUUUACUUCAAUGUCGAAUUGAUCGACCUAUAUUCAUAACUUUUUCUGGAAGAAAUCUCCUGACUACAUCUGUGUCAUACUAAAUGUUAUAAAUAGCAUACUUUUGUUCCUGAAAUUGAAGAAGAAUCCAUAAGAAUACGAGAAUUAGGUUUAAGUAUAUGGAUUUGUGUAAGUUUUGCGACAUCAAACACCAUAAAAUUAACUCGAAUUACAGAAUAAGAUGCUUCUAUAAUCACUAGAUUAUGUUUGUAUCAAAUUUAACUUAAAAAUGUGAAUUUUUUUUUCAGGCUAUACGCUACGCCACCUUCAUGAAACAAAAGUUGAACAAAGGCUUGACUCAAUCGAAAAUGCUGUUAGUAUUAACAAUAAAAUUGAAACAAUGUAUAAAAUAUAUAAAAUAUAAUAAUAAGAUAGUGUUUAUACUUUAUACGUUUUUUUGUAGAUGAAAAGAAAUUAUGACCUUGAUGGAAAGGAAUUCAAAAAGAUGGUUGGAAACGGUAAUUCCAAUGCUGCAGCUUGUGUGGCCACAUCAGGUGUCACUUUGGUAAUCGGGUUUGUAAAAUAGUCUUUCUUCAAAACUUUUGUUGUUUUUAUAAAAUUUACCACAUCACACCUUGUAAUUGAACGAAAUUACGAAAAUAGUCCCUGUGGUUUUUUCAGGUAUGGGUUGGGUUGGAGAGGUGGGAGGUGGUAUGCAAACCGUAAAUUCAAAAGGGAACAGAUGAAGCUUUUGGGUCAAGUUAAACCAAAGAAAUGGCAAUUGAAGAAAAUUUUGGGUCGAUUGAGGAAGUCAAAUACUGCGGUCAAAGCAUCAGUCAAAGCAUCGGAAAGCGCGAUUCCGGUUGCACAUAAUGCUGCUUGAAAAGGGAAUGAUCAAUGAUGUAGAUUCAAGUGGAAUGGAAUCAGUUUUGAGAUAGAUAUACAUUUUUAGAGAGAGGUGAUAUAGUGUGGAGUUUUAUUACUACUAUUAACCUUGAAAUAAAGGUUUUAAUUUGUUUACACAAUUUCUUUAUGAAAUUAAUUGAUAUAGAAAAAAAAAAUCCUAAAUUUAUCAACUUCGGGUUUCCUUCUCUUUAAUGUUUGUUUUUUUGUCAGUUUUUAUUACAUAUAUAAAGAAGGAUAAACGAUAAUAAUAUACACAAAAUACAAGAUGGUAGAUGACUUUUUUUUUUUUUUAAAUUUGUGGGCCUUAACAAAUUGCAAUUGAAGGUUUUAGUAGAAUUAAAAUGCUAGCUUUUGUUGUUUAGUGAACAUUUGAAAAUUGAAAACAAAUAAAUAAAUAAAUAAAAAGUGUUAUCAGAGUUGAAAAAAGAGCAAGAGAAAAUCAUGGUAAUAUUUAUAGAAUGCUAAUUUCUCACUGGUAAAAAUAAAAAUUCCGACUAUAAAAAAACACAGAUGACAGAUGACAUAAUCAGAGAAAUUUUCCUUUGAUUAUAGUACAACAUGAGGGGUAUAUACAAUGGAGCAAAAAAAAAAAAAAAAAAAAAAANAAAUUAAAAAAAAAAAAAAAAAAAACAAACUAAAAUGUUAUAUUUUCCAUUCUCCACAAGCAUUCUUUCCGUAGGGGCGAAUCCGUAAAUAUGGCUCUGAUAAAAUCCCUCAUCUGCAACAUAUAUACAAAUAAUAAUAACUAAAUAAAAAUUGAAAGGUUUAGUUUAUAAGUGUUAUUAAGUAAAAGAUUUAAUAAUAAUAAUAAUAAUAAUAAUAAUAAUAGUAAUAAUAAUAAUACCUCAGAUGAAGUAUAACCACACUUUGCCAGCUCACCACUUUCCCAUGAUGCAGUAAUGGACUUCAAAGGCAUGUCCAACAUAUCUGUUCAUAUUUUUUAAAAUGAUAAUAUAAAAUCAUUAACUCCAAUUUGGUUGGAAUUGGAUGGAAUGGAAUGGAAUAAGUAGUUACAUUCCAUGAUCAUGUUAUUGGAAUGGAUUUUUUUAUUGUUAUAUUGAUUUCCAAUAUAUAUAAGUUUUAACUCUGCUUUUUAAGGAUAUUAGUUAUAAUUAAUAAAUUUUUAUUCCUUGCUAAAACCCAAAUAAGAUUUAUAACAAAAAAGUAUAUUAUAUUUUCUAGUUUUUUUUUUAGAGAAUAAAAUUGCUAUUUGAUUAAAACCAUGAUUUUUUUUUUCAGACAUUACAAAUUAAAUAAAUACAAAGUUGGGUUAUAUUGUGAAAUUUCAUUCCGUUCCACUUAAUUCCAUGAUGGGAAUGAAAAACAAAAGCGGAUUGACUCCAUUGGAAUGAACAAUUCCAUUCCGUCUCAGAUUUCAUCACAAACACUAGCUAAAGUAAAAGAUGCCUAGUGACACCAAUUUAAAUAAUUAAAAAAAAAAAAAAAAAACAUACCUGCUAAUAUCCGUAGUCUAGGGAGUGAUGGAAUUAGAUCAUUAAUAGAGCCUGAUGACUUCUCUUGUGGCUUUGUUGUUUGAUUGAUGGCAAUCAAAGAUUCCAUUAAAGAAGAAAGGUUUUCCAGCAGCAUAUGAAUCAACCUUUGAAGCUGAAAAAAACAAUAACGUAUUUAUGUGGAAGGAAUGGAAUCUGUGAAUGGAGUUGAACUCCAGGGGAAUCGGAAUCGGAAGAAAUUGUAAUCAAACAUCAACUCCAAACAAAUCUAACAAGAACCAAAACUCCGUCCAUUUGGCAUACAAACACGACACAGAAUGGAAUCACCGAUUCCGAUUCCGUCGGAAUCACGGAUUCCGAUCACACUCUAAUAGAUAUUACAAAGAAAGGUUUUACAAAAUGAACCUGUAAUGUUUCUUCAGCUGCAAUGUCAUCUAACAUGAGUAUAUCUUUUGUCAUUCUAGAACAAACAGCCUCCACAACACUACACAUACUUCCUUUGUAUGUCAAAGGAAGCAAAAGUGGCUCCCAUAUUAUGUGAACUUUCUCCAGUAUAAAAGCCACCUGAUCAAUACUAAAUUUUGCAGAUUCACAUCUUUUUGGUUGAUGCGUAUUUUGAAAUCCAUCAGCCCCAUCAAUCGCCUAAAAAAUUCAAAUUUUAUUAUUUAAGAGCAAAAAAAAAAAAAAAAACAAGAUUUGAAUUUGAAUUUUGAAAGAUAAAAAUAAAUUUACCUCCAUUAAAUUAUGUUUAACAAGCUGUAUCUGUCUUUGUAAUAUCUCUUCUGCCAUAAUCUUGUAUCUUACACCCAAAUCAAUAAACACAGCUCCCUUCAUGGAAAUUGGGAAAUCCGACUUAUACUGAAAUAAUAAAAUGGAAAUAUAUUUAUUUACCACUUCAAAAAAUAAUAAGUUAAACAAAAUUAAGUUAUCUUUAUUUAAUAAUCAUACCUCAAAAGCAAGGCCAAGAAUCUCUUGUGAAAGAUAAAGACAAUCAUUAUGAAUAAGAACAGCAACCUGGUUGAUUCCAUCCAGCUGUCUUUCUAACUUCAUAACACAAAAUGAAAUAUUAUAAGGCCAAAAUAAUACCAUAAAUACACACAUUUUCAUUUUCUUCAAAAUAAUUACAAACCUUGACUGGAAUAACAGCUUCAUAAAGAAGUAGAGCAUCCCUAGCAGCAUGGUAGAAUUCUAAAGCCACUGUUGCAGAUGAUAAACAAACAUCCUGCACAUAAUACACCAAUGUACUUUUGAGAGAAAACUGAAAAAGUAACUUUUUUUUUAUAUAUAUAUUAUUCAACUAAGUAAUAUUUUAUUUAACCUUUAGUGUUUCAUGGACAACUUCCAUUAAACGAGAAGCUGCUUCAGAAAUGACACAUUUUUCAGAGGAAAAAAGUAAGUCUGUGUUUCCACCAUUUUUAAGCUCUGUAUUUUUCCUUGAAUAGUCCUGUGAAAGAACUGUCAUUCAAUCAAUGUUUAUACAGUUGAUGAAGAACAGAAAAGGGUGUAUGGAAAAAGUUUAGGGAGCUUACUUUAGGAAGAUUAAAAUCUGAAUGUAGAAGAAGGUCUCUUGCUGAUGCUAAAAUCUCAAUCUUUUUCCUCAUUGCAAAGUGAACUUCAACAUUGUCAGCAAAAUUAGUCAACCUUUCAUCUUUCCCAGGGGAGAUGAACAUAACUUGUUUAAGAGAUGCCUCAAAGUCAGAUGUGAGUUGUCUUGUUGUUUGAAAGUCAGCAAGUUUGGAAGCAUCAGUGGGAACAAUCUAGCAUCACAUAAUGCAAAUCAAUUAUCUAACAUAUGAUGGUUUUGUUGUUUAAGAAGAAAUAUAAAAAGUAGUCAAUUAGAUUGAUUCUUAUGAGUUGUGAAAAGUCAUAACAUUUAUGUAAAAAGGAACGAACCUUGGAAAGGAAAUUAGAGAUAAUCAAUUCUGACAUUCGGGGCCAUGUUAAUCUUCCAAAGUAUCGCAUCCAGGAAGAAUCUUGAAAGCAGAUAAAGUUGAAAAUGAAUUGAAUCACAACAUUAAUUCCAGAAUAGAUAGUUUCAGCAUCCAUGUUCUCAAUCUGCAUGCAUAAAGGAUUAAGACACUAUAAGAAGUUAAUCUAAUAAUACUUUUUGUUAUUAGUGUUAUGCAUAAGAUAAAUAAAGAAAUGAAAUAUCCAAUGCCACUUUAUAAAUACCUGAGAAUCAGAAGGUGGGGUUAUUCUCAAAACUACCUCAGCUAUAUAUCCUGAAUCUAGUCUUUUUUCUUCUACAGAAAAACUAUGAGAACCAGAGCGCACUGCAGGUGCUAUCACAUGUCUGGUCAUCAUGUCUGCUACUUUUGCAAGCCCAUAAUCUAGAAUACCAACUACCUGCACAAGAAAAGAGAAGAAGAAAGCCUUUCAAUUUCAACUUGAUCUGCAUAUGAUGAUUAGAAAGAGAGGAACUCAAAAAUUUCUUUCUCUGUUGUUAUCAGAGGUUAAUUAACCCAAAGUUUUAGUAGAAUCAAUAUGCUUAUAAGAACUUAUCUUAUGAUUGUUCACCAACAAAAUCAAAUAAAGAGGAGAAGCUGAAAGCAUUUAAACUUACAUGCAUUGCUUUCACAACAGUACAAAGCUCAACCCCUUGAUUGUCAUUCAUAGCCAUUCUAUUUUUGACAUAAACUACAUUGGACUGCUGAUCGAAUCUCACUGCAUUCUCCAUGAACUUCACUAGCACAUUUUGUAUCUACAAACGCAAAUUCAGCUCCGGUUAACACACCACGAACUCAAGAAAGGCAAAUACUCAAUUAUGUCAUAAUUCUUAAAGAUAAUCAUCAUCUAACAUCAUAUGUUGCGAAAUAAGGAAACGUAUUGUGCCAAAUAAACGUCAGGAUUUAUCAAUUCAGUUUUUUUUCUAGCUCUACACAUGAAAAAUAAUACAAUUUCUACCUCUUCGAAGCAAUCUGUCCAUUUCUUCCUUAACAAACCAAAUACCAAUGGCUCUCUUUCUUCCCGGAGAUCCUCCACAUUAUCUCUAACUCGUAAAGCCACUUUCAAGUCUGUAAGAGCCUCUGCAGCCUCAACGACCUUUCCCGCCAUCAAAUCACUCUCCACAACACUCAACUCUUGGCUCAAUUUCAACACUACCUUAACUAAAUCUAGCGCUUCCUUCUUCUCUUUCGAUUCAACACGUUUCCUCCUAAUCUCAUCGACUGUUUCUUUGAUUUUCAGAUCGAUCGGUUGAAGAUUCGAUGAUAACAGACCAACAAGGUUAGAUACUUGAUCGGAUAGUUGCUCGGAAUUAAUAACAGCGUCGGAGCAGCGAGAGAAUAGGGCAGAGAAGUCAUCAUUGUUAGCGAGUAUGUAAUUGUGGACUUUGGACUUAAUGUCGAGUGAACGGACUUGGAGACGGUCGAUGAGGAGGCGGAGAUCGGGGGCGGAGAGCGGUGAAGAGUCGUCUAGAUCAUGUGACGAUAACAAAUCCCGGACGUCGAUUGAAUUGAAGAGUACAUCCAUCUGGAGGAGCACAGUGGUUCCCCGACGGGUGCCGGUGGUGUUGGUAGAAGGUUGUCUUUGCGUGGAGAUCAGGAAAGCAUACAAGUGUAGAAUUAGAGCCCAACCAAUUGGGCUUUUGUUAGUGGUAAUGGGCUGUAAGUAUUUAUAUUUGUUGAUUUAAAACUUAAAUUAGUGUAAUUUUAUAUAUCUUAUCUUAUAUUAUAUUAUAGGAAAUUGCGUAAGAUGGUUAACUAUCGGAUAGCAACACUCGCUCCAACACACAACUCUUUCUCCAUCAUCACUACAUGUAAUAUGGUGCGGGGAAAAUAUAUCCAACAAACGUUAAAUGACCGUUUUAACAUACAUAUUUCAUACGAGCAAACAUGAAGUGCACAAAUGUACGCUUUGAAUUUGUUGAGAAAUAUCCUUAAAGAAAGCUUUCAAAGACUUUUUUUGUAUUAUUACAAGUUGGAGAGGAAGAAUCCAAGGACUGUUACACAUAUAAAGAUAUGACAUGACAACAAAUUUUAAUAUUUUUUCCGUCGCUAUCGGUUGCGUGAUAAUAUUUCUUAUAUAAUCUAUUAAAUAUACGUGUAUUGGAUUGUAUGACUAAUCUAUUGAAUUAUUGUGUAGGUUUGAGCAUUUCAAAUAUGUUUAUGUCCUAUUAUUAUCAUUAACAGAACAUAUCUUAAAGGAAAAUACUUGGACAAUGUUCCUAGCAGUAGUCAUGGACAGUAAUAACUAAAUCCUCCCAAUAGCAUUUGGUGUUGGAAAAACUGAAAGUGGGGAUUCAUGGAUAUGAUUUAUAUCAAGACUCAAAGAAUGUAUUUAGGACAUGGAGCCUUUAGUUAUCAUAUCUGAUAGAGCCAAUUCCAUUGAAAUGAUAAAUCGUGUUUCCGAACACAAAUAACAGACUAUACUGUUGCCAUUUAUUGAUGAAUAUGAGAACAAAGAUCGGUAUAGUCAUCUUGGAAUCUCAUUCUUGUACAUGUGGGAAAUGGAAAUUGUCUGGUAUACCUUGUUCUUAUGCUAUGGCAAUAUUUAGGUAGUAUUUGGUACGCAGAACAAAAUUGGACUGAACUAAACAACACCUGUUCAAAUGAUGUUUGGCAUGGAUUGAACAAAAAGUCAAUGGGACAAAAACUUUGGUCAAUGAGACUAAAAUUGGUAAAUUUAGUCCCACCCAAAAAGUGGAACUGAGUGGGACAAAACAAAAUAUCCUUACUAAAACUAAAAUGCACUCUUCUUCUGUUCUCUUCUACCGUUCUUGUGCAAAUCCUUAAGAUCGAUAAUUUCACCCAUUGCCUCUUUCAAUCAAUCCCUUGUUGGUUGUACAUAUAAAUUUUCUUUCAACUCACCCUGUAUAAUUUAGACUUCUUCUUGGUCGUGAUUUACAUGAUUUUGGAUCCUUCAUUCUCUCUUCAAAAUCCAACAUCUUCUCGGCACAUGCUCUAUCCACAAGUUCACCUGGUACAUAAGAGAGCUGUUAAUCCAUCAAUUUCUUUCUAGGAAAUCUCGAAGCAUUUCUUUUCCCUCGAAUUUUCGUGCUUAAUUGUUCUAGAAAGUGGAUACUUGAUUGGAAUCUAUUCCAAAGGGAGAUGAUGUCCUAAAUUUAGAUUUAAGUUUUAAAAAGGGAAAGUAAGUUUUUAGAAGUAAAUAUGUUAAGAUGAAAAAGAAAGACGAUUUGUUUUUUUUUUUUUUUUUUUUUAAAAAUUUUCCAGUCACCUACUUAAUUCACACAUUGUUUUGUGAUUUAUUGAUAAAAUCACAGUAGCUUCUGCAAUUUGUUGUUAAAUCAUUCACACGUGUUGCAAUUGUAUGGUAUUUUUUUUCUUUCAAUUUGGGAUGUGGUGUUUUAUUGACAACUCACUCUUGUUUAAUAUAAACAUUUUAUAUAUUAUAGUUCACAGUUUGAUAUAUAUUUUUCUUUGAAUAAAGGUUUUAUUGGAUUUAUUUUAUCUUUGAUUGAAACAAUUCAAUGAAACAUUCAUGUUGAAUUAGCAAAGGAACAAACCCCACAUAAAAGUCACGAUUGAAACUUUUAUCAGCUUAAAUUUGGUUUUAUUUAAAUCAAGGGCAAUAUGAUAAUUUUAAUAUCUUUGUUCUGUUCUGUUAUAGUUUUACCAAAUGUUAUGUGGACUAUUUAUUAUGUUCGGUUCCAGUUCUCUCCCGUCCAGUCUACUUUUGUCCCACUACCAAACACUGCCUUAAGGAACUGAGAUAUGAGAUAUAAACACUGGUGUUUAAUUAUUAUACUAGUUUUUUUAGAGUAAAUUACACGAAUGGUCCCUAUGGUUUGGGGUAAUUUGCAUGUUUGGUCCCUAACUUAUUUUUUUAACUCGGAAGGUCCCUAUGGUUUGUUUUUGUUACGCGUUUGGUCCCUACUGUUUAUUUUUGUUACGCGUUUAGUCCCUGUAUUAUCUAAAAAGACUAUUAUUUAAAGAGAAAAAAAAUGAUGGGGUAGGUGAGGUAAUGUGAGGGGGUGGGAUUAGGGGUGUGUUUAUUUAAAUAAAUUAAAAAAAUCAAGGGCAUAAUAGUCUUUUUAGGUAAGAUAGGGGCCAACCGCGUAAUAAAAACAAACAGUAGGGACCUUCCGAGUUAAAAAAAUAAGUUAGGGACCAAACAUGCAAAUUACCCUAAACCAUAGGGACCAUUCGUGUAAUUUACUCUUUUUUUUAAUUAUAAUGUAAAGACCCAAAUUUUUUAAAAGAAAAUUUUCAUUUUUAAUUAGUCAAACACAUUUGCAUAAACCAUGAAACCCCAAACAUUGUUUUCAAAUCCACAUUCAUUACAACUUUAUUUAAAAACAUUAGUGUCCCGUAACGUAUCAAUGAGAGAGAGAGAGAGUGUGCACGUCGUGCCAUCACGCGUUGCCUUUGCUCUUGGGAUCUGAAGUACCUGAAACAAAUCCACAACCUGUAAGCUAAAUGCUUAAUGAGUCCCCAGAGCAUACCCACACAUAAACCACAUACAAGAUAGCAUACUAGCUAUCACAUAAAUCAUGCAUACAACAUAUAAAGAAGCCCUGGAAACCCUCUCGGGUCUUACAACUAGUGUCAUGGGAACCCUCACGUGGUCUUAGUCUACUGCUACGGGAACCCCCGGGGUCUUCCAUACAAAUUUCAUACUAACAUAACACAUCAUCAAUCGACAAUCCACAUAUCAUAGAAUGGGUCGGCCUUGGUGCCUUAGACCCAUUGGUAUGGUGAGGAGACUCACCUCUCGAAAGUUGAACUAGUAAGAUGAAGUCAAAUAUAUACCACACACUGCUCCUUCUCAAUUACCUAUAAUCAUCAAGUGAUUAACUUAACACCAUCCCAUAAAUAUUCUCAGAUCAACCCUGGUCAAAGUCAAGGUCAAGGUCAAAGUACACAGUCUAGGUCAACAGUCCAUGUUGACCUCGACUCGUCGAGUAUAACCAACCACUCAUUGAGUUCCUUGCUUAACUCGUCAAUCGAGUUCCUUAAUGUCCGCGACUUCAAACUCUCAACCACAAACCCCUGGCCGUAAACUCUUUGGCCAUAAACUCCUUGGCCGCAAACUCAUUGGCCGUAAACUCCUUGGCCAACUCGUCGAGUCGAUUAAAGGACUCGACGAGUUCCUUUAGUGCUUCUCGUUUUCGGCAUUUUCUAGUGGAACCUAGAGUCCCAAACUUCAAAUCUAGCCUUCCCUAGUGUAGAUGUCACGUAAAGUUGUAAAAUUUAUGUGCAUGCAAGGCCUCACAUGGACAUGACACCAAAACUAGUCUUCAUAUAAGGUUUUAAUGCACGGAAAGGGAUUGAAUUACCUAAAGGAAACAACUUUAUGUCAUUGGGACCUAAAGAGGUCCAGAUCUGUAACCAUGUCCUUGUGAAAGGUUGAGAUCUGAGUUUUGACCCCAUUUUGCACCAAAAAUGGUCAUUUAUUACAAAAAGAAGAGAACCAAGCAACUAGAUAUCAAGAUGGCGACUUUUUACCUUAGGAUGAUGGCCAAUACAGAGUAACUUCCAAAUCUACUGCUCCUCACGUUGUUCCUUCCUCUUCCAACUCUAGGAUCCUUCAAAAAUGCCCUAAAAUCACUCACAAACGCUCUUACUCUCACUCAAGGGUGUUUACAGUCGAAAACUACUUUCUGUAGGGAGAUAAGGUGCUAGAGGAGGCCACAAGGGUAGUUAAUGAUCCUUGUAUAGGGGGAAAACCCCGAAAUUAGGGUUUUCCCUUUACAUCCAACUCGCUGAGUCGGGCCUUCCGACUCGUCGAGUUUAAAUGCCCCUACUCGAUGAGUUGGACUCCCAACUCACCGAGUCUAUGCACCAAAAACCCUAAAUUUAACUAAAACAAAUAAUACCUGGAACAUGUGUUCAAAGUCGCCCCCACUUAAACUAGACUUCGUCCUCAAAGUCUGCUGACCCAAACAAAUCUAGGUAGUGCUCUCGCAUUUCCUCUUCCAGCUCCGAAGUCCAUUCGGAGCCCCUUCGAUGAUGCCAUUGCAACUUUAUCAGUCUUACUUCCUUAUUCCGAAGAACCUUGGUCUUCAUAUCAAGGAUCGCAAUGGGCUUCUCGAUAUAGUUCAGGCUCUCAUCCACUUGAAUAUCGCCCAAUGAAAUAACUACGGACUCGCCAAUGACACACUUCUGAAGAUGUGACACGUGGAAGGUAUUGUGAAUCUGACUAAGCUCCUCUCACAGAUCCAAGCGAUAUGCCACCUUGCCCACCCGGGCCGUGAUCCUGAACAGGCCUAUGAACCGAGGCCCCAGCUUGCCCCUCUUGUACCACCCAUAAAAUUAGUGCUAAUCUAAAAAUUUUAAAUCAUUUAAAAUCAUUCAAUUAUUACUAUUAGUUUUCAAAAUAGUUUAAACAUCAGAGUUCCCAAAAAUCAUAAUCAUCGAUAGAGGAAGUGUACGGUCACACCUUCGCUUCCCUGCGGUCAUCCGCUGAACUUGAAACAAUAAACUAAAACUGUAAGACCGAAAACUUAGUGAGUUACUGUCACAACUGGCAUUUUGCUAGGAAAUUCUAUUCCCAUAUAAACAUCAUCCAUUGUAAAAGGCUAUACUUACUAAACUCUAUUCUCAUUCAAAUACAUCUCAUAUGUUCAACUAAGGGAUGGAAACCCUAGAAAUCCCGACUCAAAUUCAUUAUGGACUAGGAUUCUUUUAUUGGGCCUAAGGGACCAAUAAGUCAUCAACUCAUCAAUCUAUAACAUUUUGGGCCAUUUGGGCCUAGAAUGAUUCAUUCUACCUCUAAAUGGGCCUUAUUGGUCCAUAACAACUCCAAUUAACCUUAAUGGACUUUAGAACCCAUUCUUUUAUACUAUUGGGCCGUGAGAUACCCUAAAGGCCCAAUGGGUCGAAAGAUGUUAUGAUUAGGCUCCAAAAAUCCUAACUAAAGUUUAAUGGGCUCAAGCUAUUCCAAUUCCUAUCUUAUUGGCCCAAAAUUUCGGCCCAACACCAUUUAACAAAAAAAAGGAAAACAAAAUGAAAUAGGGGUUGACUUUUGGAUGUGCCACCUCAAUAUUGCAUGGUGGUCAUCCAUGCCAAAUACCCACCAUGCAAACUUAUCAAAUAUCUCUAUUAUAUUCUCUCUAUUCACGGCCAAACACUCAUCCCACCAUCCUCAUUUUUCUUUUAAACACUCUCAUACACUCUCAAGAACAUCCUUUCCUUCCACCCAAAAUUUCGAAGAUCUAGGGUGUUUUCAAGAGAAUUCUUCACCAAAAUCAUCAUCCUUGGUAAGUUUUUGCUUAGAUCCAUGGUCUAGUCUCUUGAUUACUUCAAAAAUCUCCUCUUAACUCAUGAAAUUUCGUGAUCUUGCAUCUUGGAACCCAUCUAAGCUCAAAAACCUCUCAAGAAGCUUGCUAGGGCCAAGAAUCACAUCAUCUUCUUCCAUUUCUUCUUCAAACCAAGAACAACAAAGCAAGGUGAGUUCAUACCCCCUUGUUUUCGGUUUUUACUUGUUUUUGGGGGAGAAUACAANCAAGGUGAGUUCAUACCCCUUGUUUUCUGUUUUUAUAUGAUUUUUGGGGGAGAAUACAAGUUGAUUUGUGUAGAUCUAUGUGUAUAUGCAUGACUAUGUGUGUUUUCCAUGAAUUAUUUGGUGAUUAUGUGUUGAUUUCUUCACUAAUCUAAAAAUAUGUUAAGAAACUUGAAGUUUAUCACUAGGAUCUUCAUAUGAAUCUUGAGAAAAGUAUGUUUUAUCACAAGUAUUACAUGUAAACAUGUAGAUCUGGGAUUUGUAUACUUGAUAUAGCAAAAAUAAGUGUUGUGUUCAAAGAUCUAUAAACUAAACUCACAAAACAGCCCUUGACAGAAAACUUUUGGUCCAAUCUCGGACUGUUUUGACCAUCCAAAUGGAAGUAUUUUUCAAAAAUGUUUUACAUGGAUAAAGUUCAGAUUUAUACCUUUAAAAUGACUACUCUCACGUUUUCAUACGAUUUUUCUACAAUUUUUGGCGAAUUUUACAAAACUGCCUAUCAUAUUUGAAAUAAUUUCGGACCAACCUGUGAAGAUGAGUAAUUUCACACUAGUUUGAAGCCAUCAAAAAUUAUGAGAAAAAUUGUGAACAAAGUAGACAAAAUUUCCAAACUUCCAAAAUUUACGGAUCCAGAUUUCGACUUACGAUGAAUUUUCUACAAAUUUUCUAAAAACUAGUUCGGAAAAGCCAAAAACCAGAAAAAUAUGUAUUUUCACAAAACCAAGCCAAAAAUGAUAUUUUUGACAAAAAUGGGUUUAAAAUGCUAUUUUUAUCACAAAGUAGUCAUCAACACAAGUUUUUAACAAAAUUGGAGAUUAAAGUGUUAUUCUUACAAAAAUUGGGCCUUAAUUGUAAAUUUUUGGCUUAUUGGGCCAAGAAUGUCAUUUUUACAAAAAGUGGGCUUUAGAUAUCAAUUAUGUAAAUAAUCAAGCUAAAAUAAACAAAACAAUAACAAACGGGUUAAAAACGACAUUCAUAUCCUUAUUGGGCCUGGAAAUAAUAUACAUGUUUAGUGGGCCUUAGUGUCCUUUUACAUGUAUAUUGGGCUCGAGAUAGGUAUUCAUAUCCUUAUUGGGCCUGGAAAUAAUAUACUUGUUUAGUGGGCCUUAGUGUCCUUUUACAUGUAUAUUGGGCUUAGGAUAGACAUUCACAUUCCUUUUGAGCCUGGAAAUAAUAGACACGUAUAGUGGGCCUUAGUGGUCCACUUACAUGUUUAUUGGGCCUAGGAAUGGGUUUUAUAUGCGUUAUUCUUUUUAUGCUAUUUUAGUGGAUACUAUUUGCAUGCUAUUUGGGCCUAUAAAUACCUUACAUGUGAAAUGGGCCUUAGUUGUCCUUUCACAUAUAUUUUGGGCCCAUGUUAUAUAAUCUCAUUCCCUUUAGGUCUUGAAAUGAUUUACAUGUUUAGUGAUGCCUUAGUGGUUCACUUACAUGGAUCAUUGGACCUAGAAUGAGUUUAUACAUUUUUCUUCGCGUAAAUUCGAUUAAGGAUCUAGCGAGUUUUUAUCGGUUGGCACCUAUUAAGUGUACGAUCGUAGCCUGUAGUUAUAACCAGAGUCUCUUGAAGGGAGAGCGGGGAUUUGUGUAUAGAUCUAUACGGGGAUGACACCCCACACCUGAGCUGUUCGCUACAGUUAGACUAACUCAGUCUAGGGUGACAAAAACCUUAUUCUAUAUUCCGUCGGCGUCCAACGAUGCCAAGACAGGUGAAAUUGUCAUAAAUUAGUAUGGUUAUGAUGGCUCGCUUAGAGGAAUUAACGUUAUGAAGUUUACGGAAGACCUUUCUAUAUAGGCAACAUCGGGUUGUCUAGGAACAUUCUCGUUACAUGCUCUUACAUUCUCUCUCUACAAUCUAUUUACCUUUUUAGUCAGAUAACAAUAACAUACAUGCAUUAAUACAAGAUCUAACACAAACACACUAAACAGUUUUCAGAAAAUAUCGGAUUUUCUGGUGGUUUUCAAAGUUAUACAAAUCAUUUUCACAAACAUGCUUAUGAACUCACCAACAUUUUUAUGUUGACCAUUUUCAAAAUAACUUGUAUUCUCAGGAAAUCGUUGAAGCGGGAUGAACAAAACAAACUAAUGGAUAUUGUGUUAUAUUUUGAUUCAUCAUACUCUUACUAUCUUGGCAUGUAAUAUUCAAAUAGAAUACUCGAUGUAAACAAUGAAUGUUGUAAUAUUACAUGUGUGAUGAUGAUGAUGUUAUGUUUCAAUUAUAUUCACUGUAAUGAUAUUUCAAGAUGAAGUCACGCACAAGCCCCCGGACGUUUCCACCGUCUGGUUCGGGGGUGUGACAGAUUGGUAUCAGAGCAUUGUUUAUAGUGAACUAGCAUAUCUAAUCAUACAUGAUAUGCAACUAUAAAUAAAAUGGGACUAAACAACUCUGAACAUAAUAAUUUCAAAUACAUACCUUUGUGUGCAUUUUAGAAUGAUAACACAACAAGAAUAGUAAAAGUCUUUGGAGGAUUUGAACAUCACUAUUAAACUCGGACAGUUAUGUAGUCGUAUUGGGGGUGAAUGUAACCGGAUCAACUACAUUCAUUCAAAAUACGACCAACAUGUGUUCGGGAGUAAUUGUGAUGGGCAAUGAAUCAAAAACUUACCAUUUAAUUAUCCAAAGAGCUUAUAGAGCCAAACCUAAACAAAAUUAAAUUACUAUAGGAGUAAUUGGUAUGCUAAUUGUUUCUAGUAUUUAUACCCCCUUCGUGCAAUACACUAUAGACGAGUAUCGUUAGCCAGGAAACCCCUAUCUCCCUAGUCAGGGAAUAGUAGGGUGGCUCGACUCAGAGGAGGAACCACAGGAGGAACACGAAGUAGAACUUGCAGGUGAACCCGCCGAGUCAAUAGUGGACCUCGAAGAGGAAGAGCCAGAGGGCAAUGAUGAUGAUGAAUCAGAUACAAAAUCUGAUGACAUCAAUCCUCCAUGUAAAGCCAGAGUACCGACAUAUCGUGUGGGUCCCGGUGGCCCCAUGCCCCUUAGGCACAUGAUAUUUAGAGAUAGAGUCACCAGCAGGGGAUACGACCACACUACGGUAGGAACUGAGGUCUCUUCGAUCUUAGUCGUAGAGGACCAGCUGACCGGGCCCUCCCAGUCAUGGUCCGGAGCACCUGAGGUAUGGAUAGCCAAGCUCAGGGACACCCCAAAUCAUCCGGAACAAAUGCGGUUUGCUAUUGAGAGAGACAAGAGACAAACAAAGGAAGUGAACGGAGACUCCCGAGCAAGACAGUUAGUGUGAGAAGUAAGACUACAAGAUACCGAACAACAAGUAGCUCAUCUCCGAGGAGCAUCCACUUCAUCAGCACCACCACCAGACACUUCCUGCCACAAUUAGGAUCAGCCUUUUCUACUUCCCCCUACUAUUCGACAUGACUCUCUUUCAUGUACUAAGAUAGUACUUACCACUGGAACAAUUAUGUGCUAUCUUUAUUUCAUAUUACCACAUAGACUCAAUUAUAUGCACAAGCGAACCCUCAAAACCGCUAGAUACUUAAGGGUCUCGAAACCAAAACAACCUAUAUACUCUAAGGAUAGACGUGACGAUCGUGCCAAAUCUGUGAUUACCUACUACCACAAAUACAUCAUAGGGAUGUAGAUGGAAGCAGUAAGAAUUAUACAACAAGAUGCAAAAUUUAUAGAGUACAACUAGGAAUGACGAUCAUUACUUACGAUCUGGAUUAUCAACGUGCAUCAGGAAAAUGCCAUCCCGCAAGAAUAACAAGCGCACCUGCGAGACACCGUUCCUGCAGAUGAACUCUGCUACAUUCCAAGCUGCUGUAACGGCGACAGUAACCGUUGCGAUGGCGCAAAUCAAUGCAAACAACCCCAAUGGAGGCGGGAAUAACAUUGACAACUCCAUCCAAAGGAACGAACAUGGAAACCAACAAGUGACAACCAAUCAAGGAACUCCAAACCCCAAGCUUAAGAGCAGGAAGCUGAGGUCUGGAAGUAAGAAAAAGGGACAACCCACUCAAGGGUUCUCAAGGAAGCAACAUGUUGUUGCUGUUCAUGCGACCAUGACCCCUAUUACACCAACAACCAGGAGACCAUAUGUUGGAAGCCUUCCAAAAUGCAACCAGUGCAAAUUCCAUCAUAACGGAGCCUGCCGGGAGAUGUAUUGUACGAAAUGCAACCGAAAGAAUCACACCGCCAAAUUCUGUAGAACUUAUCCAUGCCAAAAUCGCCAGCCAAACAAAAACGACAACAGUCGCAACAACCCUAACAACAACACCAAUGAUGAGACCAGUCACACCCGCUAUGGGUAUGGAGGAACCGGUCACUUCAGGCGCAAUUGCCCAAGGAUAACAAUCAAGGAGCAGAAGGAUCGGAAAUGGUCCUGACCUUGGGUCAAGGCGAAGCAGUCCAAGACCCAACGAUUGUUAUUGGUACGUUCCCACUUAACAACUCUUUCGNNNNNNNNNNNNNNNNNNNNNNNNNNNNNNNNNNNNNNNNNNNNNNNNNNNNNNNNNNNNNNNNNNNNNNNNNNNNNNNNNNNNNNNNNNNNNNNNNNNNNNNNNNNNNNNNNNNNNNNNNNNNNNNNNNNNNNNNNNNNNNNNNNNNNNNNNNNNNNNNNUAAAUUUAAUGCCAGUAAAUAUUAGGAGUUUUAAUGUGAUAAUUGUCAUGGUUGGGUUAAGCCCCCACCGUGCUGAUACUAUGUGUCGCGAGAGGGCCGUUUGCCUUCACCUUCCUAAUCACGAAACUCUGAUAACCCAUGGUGAUAAACCUAGCGUCAAUCCUCGUCCUAUCUCGUGCAUCAAGGCACAGAAGUGCCUGCACCAGAAGAACUACGUUUUCCUUGCUCAAGUUGUGGACAAGACCAAGGAAGAAGUAAGCAUACAAGGUAUUCAGGUAGCAUGUGAUUUUACGAUUGUAUUUCCUGAAGAACUUCCGGGAAUACCUCCAGAAAGACAGGUAGAAUUUCAAAUUGACCUAAUGCCGGGAACCACAUCAAUUGCCAAUUCGCCCUAUAGGUUGACUCCCGCCGAAAAUUCACAAGUUAUCCAGUCAAUUGAGAAGAAUUGUUGCGCAAAGGAUCCAUCGGACCAAGCUUCUCACCCUGGAGAGCUCCCGUCUUGCUCUUCAAGAAGACGGAUCCUUCCGAAGGUACAUCAAUUUUAGGAAAUUGAAUAAACUCCCUAUCAAAAAUCAAUACCCACUUCCUCGGACUGACGAUCUAUUUGGCCAGCUCCAAGGAGCUAGUUAUAACCAGAGUCUCUUGAAGGGAGAGCGGGGAUUUGUGUAUAGAUCUAUACGGGGAUGACACCCCACACCUGAGCUGUUCGCUACAGUUAGACUAACUCAGUCUAGGGUGACAAAAACCUUAUUCUAUAUUCCGUCGGCGUCCAACGAUGCCAAGACAGGUGAAAUUGUCAUAAAUUAGUAUGGUUAUGAUGGCUCGCUUAGAGGAAUUAACGUUAUGAAGUUUACGGAAGACCUUUCUAUAUAGGCAACAUCGGGUUGUCUAGGAACAUUCUCGUUACAUGCUCUUACAUUCUCUCUCUACAAUCUAUUUACCUUUUUAGUCAGAUAACAAUAACAUACAUGCAUUAAUACAAGAUCUAACACAAACACACUAAACAGUUUUCAGAAAAUAUCGGAUUUUCUGGUGGUUUUCAAAGUUAUACAAAUCAUUUUCACAAACAUGCUUAUGAACUCACCAACAUUUUUAUGUUGACCAUUUUCAAAAUAACUUGUAUUCUCAGGAAAUCGUUGAAGCGGGAUGAACAAAACAAACUAAUGGAUAUUGUGUUAUAUUUUGAUUCAUCAUACUCUUACUAUCUUGGCAUGUAAUAUUCAAAUAGAAUACUCGAUGUAAACAAUGAAUGUUGUAAUAUUACAUGUGUGAUGAUGAUGAUGUUAUGUUUCAAUUAUAUUCACUGUAAUGAUAUUUCAAGAUGAAGUCACGCACAAGCCCCCGGACGUUUCCGUCGUCUGGUUCGGUGGUGUGACAGUUACCCCAAAAUACCAAUACCACACAGAUAACCAUAUCAUGUAAACAUAUAAGAAACAGAACAACCAUGCAUCUCGAGUCUACAGUGUGAUUAGGUUGCCCGCACUGGGCCUUCAGUUCACUUGAAAUCAACGAAGCUAUACAUAAAACAAUAAAAUUUAAAAUGGAUGAAAUGUACGAAAGUAUAAACUCAACAGUUUCCCAACAUCAAUAUUUCAUUUAAACAUGAAACAGUUGGUUUACAUCAAACUAUUUACAAAAGAAACCUCACUACAAUCACACUCAACUCUCUAAUGAUCAUUCAAGAACAAAAUGAUACAAGAUCUAAAGAAAAUGAUCUUAAAACCCUAAUAGAAAGCUUUAAAUUGGAGGAACUCUGCGAGUAAGAAAACAACAAGAAUAAUAUCUGCCCUAAAUGAACUGCAACUUCAACAUUAAAUACAUUGGGGCAUAAAACCAGAUUCGGGUUAAGCAACCCGCGUAUUCAUCCUUACAUGCAUUAUCAAAAUAUACCACAACACCCCUCUACAACCAAUAAAUAACAUAAUGUGACCAAAAUAACAAAAUACCUCAAAUGAUAAGUUUGCAACUAAUAACACUUUUUAAGACCCCCUCUCAAACUUAUCAUUUGAAGACAUACUCAUUUUCCAGAAAAAAAGUUUAAAAGUCCAAGUCUUUUUGAGAAGAAUUCAUGUUGAAAAGAAGUUAAUGAUUUAGUUAAAAUAUCUGCAUUUUGAUUAGAAGAAUCAAUCUUAACCAACUUCAAAAUACCACUUUCAAUUUUUUCUCUCACAAAAUAAACAUCUAUUUCAAGAUGUUUUGUCUUCUCAUGAAAUACAGGAUUUAAAGCUAAUUUAAUAGCAGAUUCAUUAUCAUAAAACAAUUUAACAGGAGUUAAGUUUUUAAAACCAAGAUCAUUUAAAGCUUUUAAAACCCACAACACUUCACAUGUUACAGAACCCAAAGCACGAUAUUCAGAUUCAAUUGAGGAUCUGGAUACUGUGAUUUGUUUCUUACUCUUCCAAGAAAUAAGUGAACUACCUAAAUAUACCAAAUAUCCAGACACAGACCUUCUAGUUGAGAAACACUUAGCCCAAUCAGCAUCCACAUAACCAAUAACAUCAAAAACAUUAGAUUUAGAAAAUACCACACCUUUUCCAGGACAUUCUUUUAAGUAUCUUGAUAAUCUGAAAGCAACAUUUAGAUGUGAUUUCCUGGGCUUAUGCAUAAAUUGACUUAACAGUUGAACAACAUAACUAAUAUUAGGUCUAGUAACAGUUAAAUAAAUCAGUUUCCCUAUAAGUUUUUGAAAUUCAGUUAUAUUACUUACAAGAUCUGAAUUAUCAUCACAAUCUCUAUUAAACACAAAAUUAACUUCCAAAGGAGUUUUAAUAGGCUUACAGCCCAGCAUACCAAACUCAUGUAAUAAUUCUAAACAAUACUUCCUUUGAUUUAGGCAAACACCACUACCAGUAGAUAAAACUUCAAUUCCCAAAAAAUACUUCAAUAAACCUAAAUCUUUUAUUCUAAAUUGUGAUUUAAAAAACAAUUUAACAUUUUCAAUUUCUACACUGCUAUUAUUAGUUAGAAUUUUAUCAUCUACGUACACAAGUAAAAUGACAAUGGUGUUAUUUUUAAUUCGAACAAAUAAAGAAUAAUCAUUUAUGCUUUGAACAAAACCAAAACUUGACAGAGAUGAACACAAUUUUUCAUUCCACUUUCGUGGAGCCUGCUUUAACCCAUACAAAGACUUAACAAGCUUACACGCUCUACUAUCAUUUUUAGUAUGAUAACCUUCAGGCAAAGUCAUAUAAACAUCUUCAAUUAAAUCACCAUAUAAAAAAGCAUUAUUAACAUCUAAUUGAUAGAGAGGCCAAGAAUUAUUAACAGCCACACAAAUAACAAUUCUAACAGUAACAGUCUUUGCAACAGGAGAAAAAGUUUCUUUGUAAUCAAUCCCUUCUCUUUGAUUAUAACCUUUAGCAAUUAGUCUAGCUUUAUAUCUCUCAACCUCACCAUUUGAUUUGUACUUAAUUUUAUAAAUCCAAUGACAACCAAUGGGUUUUCUGUCUUUGGGAAGCUCAACAAUAUCCCAAGUAUGGUUUCUAUAUAAGGCUUCCAUCUCCCCAUUCAUGGCUUUGAUCCAGUUUGGAUCAGUAGAAGCUUCUGAAUAAGUACUAGGUUCAAAUGUUUUAUUAAUAUUAGACACAAAACAUUUACUAUCACUUGUUAACAAAGAAUAAUUCACAGAUUUUUCUAAUCAUGUGAGAACUUUCCACAACAAAGUCAUUAAAUCUUGUUGGUAAAUGAACAUUUCUACCAGAUUGAGUAACACCUAAUAAGUGAUCAUCAGAAGGAAUAUUUUGUUCUAAAAUACUAUCGUCAGCCAAAGUUGAUGAACUAGGAACAUCCACAACAUUCUGUUGCACACGUGCCUUGUCACUCUGGUUGCUGACCUCAUCAUUAGGGGUCUCAGCCAGGUUAUGAACUGCUCUAGUACCUUCAGACUGAAGGGUUAUUCCUAAGUCACCCAAACUAUUGUUUUCUUGAAGAGAACUAGAUAACUGAGGCUCAUCAUAGGAAAAUGGGUCACUUGGAUGAUACAAACUAUUAGUUCUGUCACUAACCAAAGGUUUAAGCUUGAACAGAAAUACAGUUUCAUAAGAUUUGACAUCCCUGGAAACAAAGACAAAAUUUGAAUCAAGACUUAAAACUUUAUAACCCUUUUGUUCCAAAGAAUAACCAAGUAAGACACAUUUUUUAGCACGUUCAGAAAAUUUUUCAGGAUUAUUUAGUUUUGUUGCAAAACAAAGACAACCAAAAACACGAAGUUUAUCAAAACUAGGAACAGAUUUAUAAACAAGUUUAUAAGGAGAGGCUCCAUUUAAUACAGAAGUGGGAGUUCUAUUAAUCAAAAAAACUGCUGUUAAAAUAGAAUCACCCCAAAAAGUCAAUGGCAGUCCUGACUGAAACAUUAGAGACCUAGCUACAUUUAGAAUAUGUCUAUGUUUUCUUUCAACCACCCCAUUUUGUUGAGGUGUAUGAACACAAGAAGUUUGAUUAAUAACACCUCUAUUUUCAAAAAAAACUUUUCAUGUUAUGAUUCAAAAACUCAGUCCCAUUAUCGGACCUAACCUUUUUAAUAUUAACUUCAAACUGAUUUAACAAAAUAUUAAAGAAUGUAGUAACACAAGAAAAUACUUCACUUUUAGACUUAAGCAAGUAAAUCCAAGUUGCCCUAGUGAAAUCAUCCAUUAUAGUAAGAAAGAACUUAUAACCUUUUGAAGUGAUCACUCUAUAGGGACCCCACACAUCUAGAUGAAUAAGUUCACCUAAACAAGAAGUAACAUGCUGACUAAUUGGAAAGGAACUCCUUGUUUGUUUAGCUUUAUGGCAAACAUCACAUGGAGGUAAGUACUCAUUUCCAAUUUAAGAUGAGUUUUUAAUGAAUUCAGAGCUUGAUCAGGAGGAUGACCAAGUCUACUAUGCCAUGUAAAUUUAGAAACAUAACAUACACCAAAAUUAGAGCUAAAGGAAUUACCAGAAGGUACACUAUCAACAUAAUAGAGUCCUCCAGAUUCACUACCAUUCCCCACCAUCUCCUUUGAGUGUAAAUCUUGAAUUUUACAACUAUGUUCAUUAAACACAACCUCACACUUAUUAUCUUUACAAACCUUGUGAACUGACAUUAGAUUUACAUUAAACUUAGGAACAACAAACACAUCAAAAAGAGUUAAGGAGUUUGAAAUAUUUAAGUUUCCAAUUUUUUCUAUUUAGCACAAGUUCCAUUAGGAUGAAUAACAAGAAGAUUAAGCUUAGAUACAUCCACUGUAUCAUGCAAGAGAGAUUCAGAUGCUAUCAUAUGUUGACUAGCACCAGAAUCAAGAAUCCAUUUAUUACCAUUAUAAGAUGAAUUACAAACAUUAAACAAGCAAGUACCUGUCAUAUUAGAACUGACAUAUGCUUCCUCAUUUGACUUUCUUUCACCUAUCAGACUAAGAAACUUGGCAUAUUGAUCCUUAGUAAGUUGAUGAAAUUCAGACUCUCCAGGAUCAGAUGAUACAGGAGUAACAACAAAUGAAUUUGCAUUAAAACUUUUAGCUUGACUAUUUUGAUUAACAUCACUCCUGGGUUUAUAAUCCUUUGGGUACCCAAUUAGCUUAUAGCAUUUUUCAAUUGUAUAUCCUUUUAAUCCACAAUUCUUACACUGAAUAGCUGAACCUUCACUUUUAUUACUAGAAUUACCAGAAAAUUUAUUAUUGAACUUACUAUUAAAAGCACUAGGUUGAUUCUUGGGACCAGAUUGAGAGUCAUUAGAAAGGGAUCCAUUCCUUUGAAGAGACUCUUCACGAGAUAUGAUUGAAAAAGCAGUUUUAACAUUAGGAAGUGGAUCCAUAAGCAAUAUAUGACUCUUAACUUGGUUAUAAGAGUCAUCCAAACCACUAAGAAAUUGCAUGAGUUUCAUUAAUUUAGAGUGAUCAUUUAGUUUAAAAACAGCCUCACAUGUACAUUCUGUAAGACUGAUUAAGCCAUCAAACUCCUUACACAAGGCAUCGAGUUUAUUAAAGUAAUCAGAAACAGAUAUACCACUUUGUUUUAAAGAAUUAAUUCUUUGAUGAACAUUAAAAACUACAUAUCCAUCAGCUUUAUUAUAAGUUUCAAAUAAAUUUUCCCAAAUUUCUUGAGCAUUAUCAGAAUAAGCAUGACUAGCAUAUAUUGAAUCACUAAUAUAAGACAACAACCAAGAACACACAACAACAUUUUCCCUUUCCCAUUUUGAUUCUUUAUGUUUUUCAACUUUAUCCUUUUUAAAAGUGCCAUCAACAAACCCUAGUUUGUUUCUAGCCUUAAGGGCUCUAGACAUAGAACUCCUCCAAAUACGAAAAUUUUCAUUUCCAGUUAGUUUCACAGUAACAUUAGUUGUAGUUGCAUUAUCAGAAGGUUGGACAUAGAGAGGAUCAUCAAAAUUAAUUGAAUCAUCCUUUCUACUUCCUCCUGGAGGAUCAGUUGAACCAACCAUACAAAAGGAAGGAACAACAAGUCACAAACAAAGCUCAAGAGAGAACAACAAUAAGUAAACAACAGAGUAAACAGCUAGUCAGUCAAGAACAACCAAACAACAGACUCAUGUAUUGACAUAAAGUCCAGAUGGUCACCACGUUUGUCGGGGCCCAAGACAAUCAAUACAGAGUCAACAAAACAAUAAGAACAAAACAAAUAAGAAUAACUGGUGUACACAAGACAACCAGGAUCUCCCAAUCACAGAUAUGAAAAAGAGUGAAAAAAAGGAACAAGAAACCCCUCACAAUGCUAUUAAGACGAAGCAAUCAAGGGACCGACUCUAUCUGUCCGUUCUCUACUUAGGAUUUAUCGGUGAUGAACUCCGACCCCUAGAGAGUUAUUUCAGACAAAUAGAUUAAUCGACUGAAGUUCAGCGGAUUCCAGUUCAACAAUUGUUCAAAGACCGAUUUUGUUUAUGCUUUGUUUAAAAAUCAGAGUAACAUUUUAAAUAAAAGUGUUGCGGAAUUUGUCCCAAAACAAAAUAUGAUAAAGUUUUAUCAAAAGCAUUUCCAAAGGAAUAUAUUUCAUUAAAAGACUCGGGAUGUCAUGUUCGAUACAGAUCAAAAGCAUAAAUAGUACAAUAUAAGCUUUACUACAUUAUUUCAUAUCUACAGGCCUAUAUCCGUAAUCCCUCAUCCAAGACAUCUCAUCUAUGCUCAUGCGUCACUACCUGUAAUACAAGAAACUGAGUGGGUCAGGCUUGGGAGCCUGGUGAGCACAUAGGGUUUUCAACCCACAAUAAAUAAGUUUAUUAAUUUCAUCAAUCAACGAUAACCCGAUUACCCGUUCCCGUUCUCCUCACAUUACGUCCCUAAACACCUAUUAUAAGGGACCUAUCCUAAGGAUCAUCAUCGGGAUGGACACUACUGCUAAGGGGAUUCCUCAGCAAUAAAUGUCCUAAAGGCAACCAUGUGGGGGAUGGAGUACACCGGUGAACACAUCGUUCACAAACACCUACAGGUUGCGAGCGCUGCUAGUGUUCCACUGGACUGUCUAGAAGAGUCCGUGGUCGUCAUCCAUACUCCGCUAGAUGACAGAAUCAACAACAUCAACAUCGAGGCCUCUCAUCAUUUUAUCACACAUAACCUAUUAAAUCUACCCAUGUUUUAUCCCAACAUUUUCGUAGAUAUAAAAUACAUAUACAGUUUAAAUCAUGUAUAACAAUGUUCAUCCAGCAUAGAUAGCAAGUAUUCAGAUAAUAUGCUCACAUAGCACGCAAUUUAUAUAAAAUACUUCAUAUCUAUGUGUAAGCUGAAAGUAACUAUGCACUCACUUGAAAGGUGGUGACUCAGCACUCGGACAACGCUUCGAUACUCUUAAAACAAUUUUCCUUCGAUAAAACCUAGUAUCAAUACCACUAAAGUUUAAUCUAACGAUAACCGCGACAAAUUAAUAGUCUGACUAUUAUUAUUAUUAUAUAAGUGUUAAAUAACACUCAAUAUAACUCAUAAUAAUAGCCCAAAUAAUUAUUUCAAGGACCUAAUAACAUUCCUAUAAUUAUUUGAAAGCUAUAUUAAAAAUUGCAUAAGCGUAUCUCACUUACAACGGAUUUUAAAGAAAACCGGAACUUUAUUUGGAGCAGCGUUUCGAAACCGAAAGACCCUUUUUCUCGGGACUCCGGGAGCCUAGGGUCUUCCCUCGGGUGCUAAGGGUUUUAUCUAGGGCUUAGGAUGGUUUAGAACUCUUAGAGAGAGAAAUAUUGUAGAGAUAGAAUGAGAAAAUGUGAGAAAAAUCCGGAGACCCUCGCCCCCUUUUAUAGCCUGCGAGCCUCGGACGUAUGCUGGGCGUAGUCAUCGGAUAAAGGUUGCCAGCCGAAGCCAACUGUCUUGCACUCGGAGCGGAGAAGAGCGAGGGUACGUGGGGCGUAGGCGAAGCGACGUGUCGCAAAUCCGAAGCGAAGCGUGAUCAGCAAGCGACGACCCUGAUUGAGCCAUGUCAUCACCCUCGCAACAGAUUUCGCAAAUUCAUUUUCCGACUUCUAAAAAUCAUAACUUUCGCAUACAAGCUCCAUUUUCGACGUUCUUUAUAUCCACGCGAAGGUGGGAAUGUACUUUACAACUUUCGCUUAGACUCUGUUGGCUAAUUUUGAAUCGAUUUUAAAUUUUAUAUUAUUAACAGGCCGGGACAGGAUUGGUCCGUUAAAUCCUCAUAACUUCUUCAUCCUACGUCCAUUUUCGCCCAUCUUUUUCUCGUUAUGCUACUCUUAAUGAGAUCUUCGAUUCUCGUUUAGGUCGUGUCGGCUAAAAAUCACUCGAUCUAAUAUUCGAAUUUCGGGCUAUACACUGCUAAGCCGAAACUUCGAAAAAUCAUAACUUCUUCAUACGAAGUCAGAUUUGGGCGUUCUUUUCAUCGACGNCUACGACUUUAGUUUAGAUUGCUAAGGCUAUAUCUUGCUCUAUCGUAAAUUCGCUAUUUACGAUUCCCGGUAUCGUGUCGGUUCUGUUGCGAAACUUUGACGGGUCAUAACUUCUUCGUUAUAACUCGGAUUUCGGCGUUCUUUAUAUCCCCGGAAUCCUAGUUUCAACCACUACAAAUUUAUAUAAAGAUAUCAGACUUAUCUCUUACUUUAAUUUUGACGCUUAUUUUUAUUCUUUAUUAAUUAUACAUUUAUAAUUAAAUAAUAAACACAUAAAUACACACAAUUCACAUAAUACUCAAAUAUUUUAUCUUUAUUACUUCAAAAAGAGUUACAAUAGUUGACCUAGACUAUUACAUCGUCAAAAAUACUUAGCCCUGAAACCCGGGCGUUACAAGUGACCCUGCAAGAAACCACAGAAACACUCACAGUACCAGGACCAUAAAAAACAAAUAUAAGAUCCGCUAAAAGAAAACCCUAAAUCGAAACAAACAACUGAAACAAAUCAGUUUUAGUAAGAGAUCCAAAAGAGUUAUAAAACCUUUUAGAUCUAUGACAAUAGGUAAAGAAGAAAAUAGAAUAAAGGAUUAGAAACAACCUUUUAUGACAUCUUCAGAAGAUAAAAAACCUCCGAUGAACACCGACGAAGACGGCGAUGUUUGAUGAACACCAACGACGAAGACGACGAACCCUAACGCUUUGAUACCAUGUACGAAAGUAUAAACUCAACAGUUUCCCAUCAUCAACAUUUCAUUUAAACAUGAAACAGUUGGUUUACAUCAAACUAUUUAUAAAAGAAACCUCACUACAAUCACACUCAACUCUCUAAUGAUCAUUCAAAAACAAACUGAUACAAGAUCUAAAGAAAAUGAUCUUAAAACCCUAAUAGAAAGCCCUAAAUUGGAGAGAACUCUGCGAGUGAGAAAACAACAAGAAUAAUAUCUGCCCUAAAUUAACUGCAACUUCAACAUUAAAUACAUCAGGGCAUAAAACCGGAUUCGAGUUAAGCAACCUGCGUAUUCAUCCUUACCUGCAUUAUCAAAAUAUACCACAACACCCCUCUACAACCAAUAAAUAACAGAAUAUGACCAAAAUAACAAAAUACCUCAAAUGAUAAGUUUGCAACUAAUAACACCUUUUAACGUGAAAUCAAGAAUGAGCUUUUAGAACAUAUAAUUACGUAACAAUUACCAAUUAUUUCAAAAAACAAUAAAUACUUCAAUAUAAAAUCUAUCAUUGUAUUUCUUAAUCACAGCAAUGCAUAUGUAUUGGGCUUUCUUAAUUUCAAUAAGAUAGAGUUUUGAAUAUUAUAAUUUAAUAAAUAAAUACUUUAAAGGUAACACUAUAUACAAUUUAAACUAAUUACUCAAUACAACUCAAGAGUUUUUUAAAAUUAUGGUUAUUAAAUGAUAUUUAUGAUGUAUAUAUGGUUCACAAACAUAUGGUGAAAACCUAUCUUUUAAAGAUUUAACCACUCAAAUAUUUUAUAACUUAUAUAUGUUUUAUAACUUAUAUAUUAUAUUUAAUAAUCACUUAAUGUAAGUUUAGUAUAAAUAAUUUAAUCUCCUCAAAGGUUAUAUUAAAUUUUUGCGCAAAGCACGUAUACGUCUAGUAUGAAAAAUAAUAUUAACGGACAUCCAAAUUAAGGGUGGGUGACUCCUGAUUCACCAAAAGGCCAUCUAAUGUUGUCCGAGCCGCCUCUUUCUAUUCCUGUUGGUUUGGUUUUCUGACCUUUCUUCACCCAAUCCAAACCAAAAUGACAAAACACGAGAUGUGAUGAGGAGAUUUAUAUUAUAUAUAUACUAGUCCAUGGUUUCCUUCAUUGUAUAUAUAUACACACACACGUAUAUAUAAGUGUUGAUUAAGGCAACCUUGUGUGUGUCUCACUUUUCUCAGGCAUACACAAGCAACUGGGAAACGGAUCAACGACUAAAGCCAAGCUUCUCCCAACCAAAUAUAUGGCGACCUCAGUCGAAAACCGCAACUUCCGCCACGAGCUUGGUGUAUCCGCCGCUGGUGCAGUGCGUUCCGAGUCACCCAUCCAUGGAUUCAACUAUCCAGCUGUUGCUAGAGAGUUUAUGACGCCUAAGAAGCUUCCCCCUGAAACUUACGAUUCUAGUGACGAUGAGGAAGACGAAGGAGACUAUCGUGAUGCCAUUAAGAAGUCCAACUCCGAGUUGGAAAGCUCCGUUUUUGACUCCAGAGAUCAAGGCACUGCGGAUCAAUGGAUCGAGCGCAACCAAUCAAUGGUUCGACUCACUGGAAAACACCCAUUCAACGCCGAGCCACCUUUGACUAAGCUCAUGCAACAUGGGUUCAUCACCCCUGCUCCUCUUCAUUACGUCCGCAACCAUGGUCCAGUUCCGAACGCCACCUGGGAGGAUUGGACGGUGGAGAUAUGCGGUUUGGUUAAACGACCUGCGCGUUUCAG
rnacentral:lncRNA from 1 species